rnacentral:rRNA from 1 species
UGCAAUGCCCGAAAGGGUGACGAAGCGACGCCGCGUGGGUGAGGAAGGCCUUCGGGUUGUAAAGCCCUGUCAGGAAUUAAGAAAUGUAGACUCGCUAAUAUCAGGUCUAUUUGACAAAGGCUCCAAAGGAAGCCACGGCUAACUCUGUGCCAGCAGCCGCGGUAAUACAGAGGUGGCAAGCGUUGUUCGGAAUUAUUGGGCGUAAAGAGCACGUAGGUGGAUUUGUAAGUCAGACGUGAAAGCCUUCUGUUCAACGGAAGAAUUGCAUCUGAAACUACAAACCUUGAGUGUAGGAGGGGAGAAUGGAACUUCUGGUGGAGCGGUGAAAUGCGUAGAUAUCAGAAGGAACGCCGGCGGCGAAAGCGAUUCUCUGGCCUAUUACUGACACUCAGUGUGCGAAAGCUAGGGGAGCAAACGGGAUUAGAUACCCCGGUAGUCCUAGCCGUAAACGAUGGGCACUAAGUAGAGGGGUUUU